UUUCCGUAGGGUAACCUGCGGAGGGAUCAUUACACAAAUAUGAAGGCGGGCUGGAACCUCUCGGGGUUACAGCCUUGCUGAAUUAUUCACCCUUGUCUUUUGCGUACUUCUUGUUUCCUUGGUGGGUUCGCCCACCACUAGGACAAACAUAAACCUUUUGUAAUUGCAAUCAGCGUCAGUAACAAAUUAAUAAUUACAACUUUCAACAACGGAUCUCUUGGUUCUGGCAUCGAUGAAGAACGCAGCGAAAUGCGAUAAGUAGUGUGAAUUGCAGAAUUCAGUGAAUCAUCGAAUCUUUGAACGCACAUUGCGCCCUUUGGUAUUCCAAAGGGCAUGCCUGUUCGAGCGUCAUUUGUACCCUCAAGCUUUGCUUGGUGUUGGGCGUCUUGUCUCUAGCUUUGCUGGAGACUCGCCUUAAAGUAAUUGGCAGCCGGCCUACUGGUUUCGGAGCGCAGCACAAGUCGCACUCUCUAUCAGCAAAGGUCUAGCAUCCAUUAAGCCUUUUUUUCAACUUUUGACCUCGGAUCAGGUAGGGAUACCCGCUGAACUUAAGCAUAUCAAUAAGCGG
rnacentral:rRNA from 1 species